rnacentral:rRNA from 1 species
AUUGAACGCUGGCGGCAGGCCUAACACAUGCAAGUCGAACGAGUGGCGGACGGGUGUGUAAUGUCUGGGAAACUGCCUGAUGGAUGGGGCUAACUACUGGAAACGGUAGCUCAUACCGCAUACCAUCGGAUGUGCGCAGAUGGGAUUAGCUAGUAGGUGGGGUAAAGGCUCACCAAGGCGAACAUCCCUAGCUGGUCUGAGAGGAUGACAAGCCACACGGGAACUGAGACACGGUCCAGACUCCUACGGGGGGCAGCAGUGGGGAAUAUUGCACUAUGGGCGCAAGCCUGAUGCAGCCAUGCCGCGUGUGUGAUGAAGGCCUUCGGGUUGUAAAGUACUUUCAGCAGGGAGGCGUUACCCGCACAGGAAGCGCCGGCUAACUCCGUGCCAGCAGCCGCGGUAAUUC